UUUUUAUUUAAUGGCCGCGGUAUUCUGACCGUGCAAAGGUAGCAUAAUCAUUAGUCUAUUAAUUGUGGACUUGUAUGAAUGGUUGGACGAAAUAUUGACUGUCUCAAUGUUAAAUUUAAUUUAAUUUAAAUUUUGAGUUAAAAUGCUUAAAUUUUUUUAUAGGACGAGAAGACCCUAUAGAUCUUUAUUUUCUUUAUUAUAUAUUUAUUUUAGUUUAUUUUUUUUUUAUAAUUUAUUUUAUUUUGUUGGGGUGACAUGGGGAUAUUUAUAACUCCUUAUUUUUUUUUACAUUUAUUUAUGUAUUAUUGACCUUUUAUUAUUGUUAUAAGAUAUAGAUACCUUAGGGAUAACAGCGUAAUUCUUUUUGAGAGUUCUUAUCGACAAGGGAGAUUGCGACCUCGAUGUUGGAUUAAGAUUAUAGCUAGGUGUAGAUGUUUAGUUAUUAGGUCUGUUCGACCUUUAAAUUCUUACAUGAUCUGAGUC
rnacentral:rRNA from 1 species